UACGAAGGGGGCUAGCGUUGCUCGGAAUCACUGGGCGUAAAGCGCACGUAGGCGGACUCUUAAGUCGGCGGUGAAAUCCUGGAGCUCAACUCCAGAACUGCCUUCGAUACUGGGAGUCUCGAGUCCGGGAGAGGUGAGUGGAACUGCGAGUGUAGAGGUGAAAUUCGUAGAUAUUCGCAAGAACACCAGUGGCGAAGGCGGCUCACUGGCCCGGUACUGACGCUGAGGUGCGAAAGCGUGGGGAGCAAACAGG
rnacentral:rRNA from 1 species